UUAGAGACACCAAUCAACCUAUGCUGCAUGUCUUUGUACUGUGGGAGGAAAUGUUGUUUUAUCAUUAAUUAGUAUUGCUGUCAGUGAUAAUAUAGUUGCCUCACUGUGGCUACUAGCAGUAUAUUCUUCCUUUGUUUGACAAUCUUGGUAGAACAAUGUCAGUAGUUGGACAACUGAACGGAUUCGGCUCUCAGGAGACUGCCACUACAAGCCAGCUGGACCAGCCAAUGCUUCAGCUGAGCAAAUACAAUGCAGAUGCUGUGUCGGAAGUCACGUAUCUGUUCUUUGGCCCUACACAAAUAAGUAGAAUUGUAAUAAUUUGCUUUUAAUUUGAAAAACUGGAAACGGACGUGGGUGUGUUCUGUUUAAACGAAUGCCUCUGAACAGCAGCUGUUAACAGUUUAUGAGAGGUUUUUGGAGAAAAUGCCAAGAGUAGAAGCUGAGGAGGAGCGACGGACUCUGAUGGAGUGUCAGUACAGUUAUCCAGUAGAAACUCUCUCAGAUCUUCAGAAAGUUCGAUCACUUUUCUCUGAUCUUCGUCUUUAUGUGGAUUUCUACUGUUUUCCUAACAAAGAGAAGAAGAGGCUGGUGUACCUGGCUGGGACUCUGCCUGUUCACUAUGAAGGAAGUGAGUAUAAUAUCCCAGUGUGCAUUUGGCUUCAUGAGACCCACCCUGUGUCCCGCCCUCGCUGUUACAUCUGUCCGUCCGUCUCUAUGGUGAUCAACCCAUCCUGUCCCUGUGUGGAUGCCUCUGGCAACAUCAGUCUGGCUGGGCUAACAAACUGGACCCAUGGUGUGUCCAACUUAUCACUGCUUGUGUAUGAGAUGAGGCAGGCCUUCGAGAAGGACACACCCCUUUACACCAGGUAUCCUGUACAAGACCCACCUGAUGCAGGUGUACAGUUGUCACAGUCAGCGACAGGUGGAAGGUCAGAGAGCCUCCACCAUUCCACUACCAUCUCCUCCCACCUGUUUGGGCAGAAAGCCAGUCAAUGGGAGAAGAAGAGGGAGGUAAGUGUGAAGAGGUCAUACACUGAGGAGCUGCUGGGAAUUGACUUUGAUGCUCCAUAUCCCUCUUCCUCUAAUCAUAACAACCCAUUCCUGAGCUGCUCCUCAGGUCCCUCUCCAGACCCUAUGAGCAGAAUGAUGGGAGCUCUGAGAUUGGACAAAGUGUCCAGCACAGACAAGUUGAGUGACUCAUCUGUACAGACCAGCCAGUCAGAAGCAGUCAGAAGUGAUUUUAGUGCAGGCUCUGUACCAGCACCUGGUCUAUGUCUGGACCUUGGUACUCAGAGACUUCAGUCAGAACCAGUGGCUGGCGCAGACCACAUUAAGAUGGCAGCCUGUCUCCCCCCGGACCAAGCGGCUAUUUUCCUUUUUCUGAUGAGGAUGGAGGGGCGGAGCUUUAACCCUGCUGAUGUCAUGGAGGCGGUCCAACUUAACAGAGAUUUCCCAUCAGCCCUCAGGUUCCUGACUCACAGCUGUCCCAUCUGUCAGGACCAGGUGACUUUCAGCAAGAUCAUCACCAUGACUCACUGCUCCUGCUUCCUGUGUCAGACGUGUUUUAAGACAUUUUUCUCAGUGGCCAUUAAAGAGCGAAGCAUUGAUCAGCUGGUUUGUCCACAGUGUGGCAAACCUAAGAUCAGACGUCAGGGUGGGAUGGAGGAGUUCAUGGACUACUUCAACCUGCUGGACACUCAGAUCCGUCACUUCCUGCCACCUCAGGUCCAUGAACUCUUCCAGAGAAAACUCAGAGAUCGAGCUCUGCAGGAGAUGCCGAACUUCUGCUGGUGUGCUCAUUGCUCGUUUGGCAUGCUUCAUGAGGCUGAUUUGAGGAUGGACUGUCCCAGCUGUCAGAAGAGUACCUGCUCUCAGUGCAGAUCACCAUGGUCUCCUCAUCAUCAGGGUCUCUCCUGUCAGCAGUUCAGGGUCUGGCAGCAGCAGAAACAGCCAGACCACCACGACACCAAAUUGCUCUGCUACAACAGCAUCGGUACAAACGCAACACCAGCAGAGUGUCCGAACUGUCACUUCAUCUUCAGCUUGUCUAAAGGUGGCUGUCUUCACUUCACCUGCAGCCAGUGUCGGCAUCAGUUUUGUGGAGGCUGCAGUCAGACCUUCAGUCUUGGAGCUGCCUGUGGUUUCUCUGCUGACUGUGGAAUGAAAGGUCUUCACGCCCACCACCCGAGAGACUGCCUGUAUCACCUGAGAGACUGGAGCGUGCCCCGUCUACACCUGCUGCUUCAGUGUUACAGAGUGUCUCCUUGGUUGGAACCAGCCAAUAGUGAUUCUCCUGACAUCACUCAGACAGGAAUGUGUUUAGUUUUGGAGCUCAGAGAUGAUGACAGCAGGUGGGAGGAGCCCUGCGGACGACCUGCACUACCUGAAUACAGAGGCCACUGCCAGUCACACUAUAAGGAGCGUUUGGUGGACCUGAUCAACCGUUGCCAGGCUGACCCAGCAAUUCUCUUCAGUUUGGCCGAGAUGACAGCGGAGCUGCAGCGCUGGAACAUCGCAGUGCCGACCAGGAAACCAGAUGAACCGGAGCCGCUGUAUGCCCGCCGCCUUCGCAUGCUACUGUUUCCAAGGUGAUGGUCUCCUGAAAGAGCUGAAGAUUUGAACCUCUGCGUGACAACAGGGCAUUUCCAUUUCCCAAAGAAGAUCAUGUGAUAAGAUCCAAGGCUCCAGAACAACAACUGCCUGGACACUGAGAUUAGGGCAGGCUUCUCAGCAGCUGAGACCGGAAGACUGGUCAGAACUGAGGGAAGGAUGAAUGCAGCCAGAUGCAGAGAGGUCCUGGAAGAAAACCUGAGACUGGGCUGACAGACCAGCUUUCAGUAUCACAGUGACCUGAAGCAAACGGCCAACAUACUGGAGCAGUUUCAGGACCAGGCUCUGACUGUCCCUGGAGCCCAGCCAAAGUCCAGACUUGGACCCCAGAGAACAUCUGUGGAGAAAGUUGAGUUCACAGACACUUCCCAUCUAAUAUGGCAGAGUAUGAGAGGAUCUGCAGGAAGAACAGGAUCAACUGCCAAAAUCCAGGUGUGAACAGCUGGUAGAGAAUGGGCCAGGAACACUGGAGCUUUACCUGCUGCCAAAGAUGGUCCUGCAAAGUCCUGGAUUAUGGCCCUUUGUACCCUUGUAAAGAUUUUUGUGAUAAAAAAUUACACUAGGGAUGAGUACUUGUCAAUGCAGAGUACAAAUACAGUAGCCUACUUCAUAACAAUGCAGUGUUUCUACAUUAAAAAUGACAACUACCCUAAGCAUCCAGUUUAAAGACACUUUAUUUUCUUACAAACUCGUAUAGUUCCUAAUUAUGAUUAUAUCUAAUAUCCGACCGAAGGCUGCUGCUGACAUCUAAAAAUUAAAAUGAAACUUUGUGUAAACAAAUAUGUGCUGGUUCCAUUACAAUUAAAUGUGACUGAGUUUCUGCAGCUUACUACCUGUACACAACACGCUGUGGUUUUUGAGGAGUGUGAUCCUAUCUUAGGAUGACCGACAAACCAACAAAGCCCUUGGUAAGCAACACCACACACAGUGGAGGUGGAACUUUCUACCUGUGUGUGGGGAAUUUCUCCUUCACUGAUUGGAUGAUGAGUUGCUCCACCUUCUGGUCAGUUUGUGUCACCAAGUCGACCGAGGAACUCUU